UACGUAGGGUGCAAGCGUUGUCCGGAAUUAUUGGGCGUAAAGAGCUCGUAGGCGGUCUGUCGCGUCUGCUGUGAAAACUCAGGGCUUAACCCUGAGCUUGCAGUGGGUACGGGCAGACUAGAGUGCGGUAGGGGAGACUGGAAUUCCUGGUGUAGCGGUGGAAUGCGCAGAUAUCAGGAGGAACACCGAUGGCGAAGGCAGGUCUCUGGGCCAUUACUGACACUGGAGAAAGCGAAAGCAUGGGGAGCGAACAGG
rnacentral:rRNA from 1 species